CUUUUCACAAAACGAAACCGACGCGACGAUACAUAUUUAACUAAAAUUCAUAAACAAACCGGGCCGACUGUGAUUUUAAUAAAACCCUUCGGCAUUUCCUCGGCUCGUCGCCGUUCGCAUGAGAAGUUUAACCGUAAUAAUUGUUUAAAAUAUGGCGCGCACAUGAACGAUGACACAUCGAAAAAGAGAACGUGAACCAAAUUGAUAUUCAUUCCGUUUCUGUGAGCAACCGCCGGAUGGUGUUCUAGAUGUAUGUAUCUGUGUUUCUCUGUAUGAAAUAUUCACGGCUUCCUGUCUGAGGCCUCCCAUCUGGGUUUAAGAGGUCGACGAAACUUAAAAAUAUUACAUCGUAUAAGCCACCGUUCACUUUAAAAUAUGUGGUCGAUAUCUCAGUUGCAUUGGAAUAGCGGCUAUCCCGUCCUUCAAAGCGCAAAACACAGUUGCUUCAGAUUAACCCUAUAACGAGUAAAACGUCAAUUAAGAAAUAUUGUUGUAAAUCGAAUGCGUUCUUUUGGCCAAAAUAUAAAUAUAGAUUAUAUAUACUAUGUACAUCU